ACGCGGUGAAUACGUUCCCGGGCCUUGUACACACCGCCCGUCAAGCCAUGGAAGUUGGGGUACCUAAAGUAUGUAACCGCAAGGAGCGUCCUAGGGUAAAACCGAUAACUGGGCU
rnacentral:rRNA from 1 species